CGUAACAAGGUCGCUGUAGGUGAACCUGCAGCGGGAUCAUUA
rnacentral:rRNA from 4 species